rnacentral:rRNA from 1 species
GAUGAACGCUGGCGGCGUGCCUAAUACAUGCAAGUCGAGCGGAGCGGGGACGGGUGAGUAACACGUGGAUAACCUCCUAUAAGACUGGGAUAACUUCGGGAAACCGAAGAUAAACCGGAUACUUACCAAUGGAGCAGCACGGCAUUAGCUAGUUGGUAAGGUAACGGCUUACAAAGGCUACGAUGCAUAGCCGACCUGAGAGGGGGAUCGGCCCAACUGGAACUGAGACACGGUCCAGACUCCUACGGGAGGCAGCAGUAGGGAAGCUUCCGCAAUGGGCGAAAGCCUGACAGAGCAAUGCCGCGUGAGUGAUGAAGGUCUUCGGAUCGUAAAACUCUGUUAUUAGGGAAGCGGUACCUAAUCAUAAAGCCACGGCUAACUACGUGCCAGCCGCCGCGGUAAUAC